rnacentral:lncRNA from 1 species
GGAGUGCAUGGUUGGAGAUUUGCGUGGAGAAUAUAUUUCGAUCCUUGAUCGUAGCUGAGAAGUGCGUGUUUGGAGACCUACAAGGAGGACAUGUUCCGAUCCUUGACCAUAGGCAAGGAGCGUAUGUUUAGAGAUUUGCAUGGAGAACAUGUUUCGAUCCUCGACCGUAGCCAAGGAGUGUGUGUUUGGAGACCUGCAUGGCAAACACGGAGAAUACGUUCUGCACCC